GUGCUCGCUUCUGCAGCACAUAAAAUUGGAAUGACACAGAGAAAAUUAGCAUGGCCCCUGAGCAAGGAUGACAUGCAAAUUCAUAAAGUGUUCAUGUUUUUU